GGGGAAUCAAAGACCUUAGAGAGACAAUUAAGAUUGUAAGUGCAAAUUGAACUUGAAGAUGUAUUUGACAAAAACAAAAUAACAAAUGUAACCUACUUAAGCCUGUCCCAGGAUCUCGGUGUUGCCCCGGUCGAAGUCGUGGUUCUCCUUGCACGUGUGGAUUGAGAUGAGGGAUCCUGUAGAUGACGUUGGCCCUGUCUAUGACGGGGAGUGGGUCCUUAAUUCGAGUGAGCACUCGUCGUAGGGUUGUCGUGGGCUUGUGUGCCACUCUGAUGCCCUGCGGUCGUAGGAGUCUUGUGUAAACGCUGAGUUCACUCUGACAUGUAAUGUCUGAAAGCUGCAUUUUCCAUCACACGCCUGACAUUACCAACUCAGCAACUGUUUAAAAACCUGAAAACUUCACAAAUUGCUGCAAUAGAAAUGUGAUUGAGGUCAUUGCUAACUAAA